AAACAAUUAUGAGACCCAACAUACUGGAUUUCUCUCUUCAGGAUACAGAAGCUUUCUGGCCUUCAUUAGUGCAUGCUGUCAGCAUGUCAUAAUCUCAGUGACAAGUGUGACCAGUGUUGUGGAGCUCCAGUGGGAGCAAGUACCAGCCCUGGAUGUGUCAUGAGUGAUUUCUAUGGGGGAGAACUUUGACCAUCAACAUAAGGAUGAGAAUAUUGCUAGAAGGAAAGCUGUCCCCAAUAUCAGGAUGGUCUUUUGUUCUGGAAGCAGUCCAACUUCACUCGCUGUACAUCGUGUUUCUCACAAGCUACAAUCAAGACGUCAAGUGAUUCUAUAAUCAUUUCAAAGCUUUUGGGGAAGGAUCCCAUUGCAGGAUAUUUCCUGUUCUCUUUCAGGAGUCAAGCCCUCAAAGGAAUCAGGCUGAAGACUUCAUUUUCUCACUGGUUGUUGUAUUAAUGCUGCUGUCAAUGCCUGGAAAUACUGGUGGCUUCCAUAAAACAGCUCACAUCAUGACUUUCCUUCCUUAAAGUGAGAAAUCAAGUUUGAAAACAUGGAAGAAUCAGACUUUUAUUUUUUAUCAUGGUAAUAACAUUUACAAACAUGUUUCCGGAAUGCAUUAUGCUCAUAAACCAAAGUUUUCCUGUAUAUUGAAAGUUGCAAUGUAUUGUUUUAAAAUAUGUAUACAAAAAAAUAAGAACCAAGAGAGUAUGUAAAGGUGCGUAUCUCCAGUGAUGAAUGUCAUUAUGUUGUACACCUAAAAUGUACCAAUAAAAGGAUAUACAAAAAUAAAAUAAAAUAUGUAUACAUCCAGAAGCCAUCAGCACAGUCAAGAUGAUGAAGCUAUCCUUCAAUUCCCAAUUUUCUCACAUAGUUGGGAAUUCCUUCUGCUUCCCCUCACCCUUCAUCCUCGGGCAACCUCUG
rnacentral:lncRNA from 1 species